rnacentral:rRNA from 1 species
AAGGUAACGGCUUACCAUGGCUACGAUGUCUAGGGGUUCUGAGAGGAAGGUCCCCCACACUGGAACUGAGACACGGUCCAGACUCCUACGGGAGGCAGCAGUGAGGAAUAUUGGACAAUGGAUGGAAAUCUGAUCCAGCCAUGCCGCGUGCAGGAAGACGGCCCUAUGGGUUGUAAACUGCUUUUGUAUGGGAGCAAUAAGAUCUACGUGUAGAUUGAUGAGAGUACCUUACGAAUAAGCACCGGCUAACUCCGUGCCAGCAGCCGCGGUAAUACGGAGGGUGUAAGCGUUAUCCGGAUUUAUUGGGUUUAAAGGGUGCGUAGGCGGUUUGAUAAGUCAGCGGUGAAAUAUUUCAGCUUAACUGGAAGGGUGCCGUUGAUACUAUCGAGCUUGAAUUUAGUUGCUGUGGGUGGAAUGUGUGGUGUAGCGGUGAAAUGCAUAGAUAUCACACAGAAUAUCGAUUGCGAAGGCAGCUCACAAAGCUAAUAUUGACGCUGAUGCACGAAAGUGUGGGGAUCAAACAGGAUUAGAUACCCUGGUAGUCCACACUGUAAACGAUGAUAACUCGCUGUCGGCGAUACACAGUCGGUGGCCAAGCGAAAGCGAUAAGUUAUCCACCUGGGGAGUACGACCGCAAGGUUGAAACUCAAAGGAAUAGACGGGGGCCCGCACAAGCGGAGGAACAUGUGGUUUUAUUUCGAUGAUACGCGAGGAAACCUUACCCGGGCUCGAACGGUGCAUGAAUUGAUUCAAAGAUGGAUUAGUCCUUCGGGACAUGUAUCGAGGUGCUGCAUGGUUGUCGUCAGCU